rnacentral:rRNA from 1 species
UACGAAGGUCCCAAGCGUUACUCGGAAUUACUGGGCGUAAAGAGCUCGUAGGUGGUUUGUCGCGUCGUCUGUGAAAUCCCGGGGCUUAACUCCGGGCGUGCAGGCGAUACGGGCAUAACUUGAGUGCUGUAGGGGAGACUGGAAUUCCUGGUGUAGCGGUGAAAUGCGCAGAUGUCAGGAGGAACACCAAUGGCGAAGGCAGGUCUCUGGGCAGUAACUGACGCUGAGGAGCGAAAGCAUGGGUAGCGAACAGG